GACGAACGCUGGCGGCGUGCUUAACACAUGCAAGUCGAACGAAGUAGCGAAAGGGUGAGUAAUACGUGGGUAACCAGCCCUCCUUUUUGGGAUAAGCCUUGGAGACGGGGUCUACUACAGUAUAAAGGGGGAUGGGCUCGCGGCCUAUCAGCUUGUUGGUGGGGUGCUGGCCUACCAAGGCGGUGACGGGUAGCCGGACUGUGAGGGUGACCGGCCACAUUUGGACUGAGAUGCGGCCCAGACGCCUACGGGAGGAAGCAGUGGGGGAUAUUGCACAAUGGGUGAAAGCCUGAUGCAGCGACGCCGCGGGGGGGAUGAAGGCUUUCGGGUUGUAAACCUCUUGCGCUAUAGAACGGGUAGGUGGAGAAGAAGCGCCGGCUAACUACGUGCCAGCAGCCGCGGUAAUAC
rnacentral:rRNA from 1 species